CGGUGACACAAUGGCAGAGGCAGGUCGUCGAGUUCAGCCUAAUGUGCCACACUCUACAGUGUCCUCGAUCAUCCAAACAUUCCGCAGGGAAAACAGGAUUGGAAGACAACCUGGUGCGGGUGGCAGAAGAGCAAUUUUCAACCAACAACAGGAACAGGAAAUUUGCAAUAUUGUCGUGGCCAACAAUUCCAUCACACUGCGAGAAAUCCAGACCACAAUCCUAGAGGACAAUGCUGGCAUCUUCCAGAACAGAAUAAUGGAGCUGGAGGCGAAUGAGACCCCUCACACCCUGAUUUUUGUGGAUGAAGCUGGGUUCAACCUGGCCAAAGGAAGACGGCGUGGCCGGAAUGUCGUCGGCCACCGGGCAGCGGUGGAUGUCCCAGGCCAGCGCGGGGGCAACAUCACCAUGUGUGCUGCCAUUUCAGAGAAUGGUGUAGUCACCCACAUUCCAAGUCUUGGCCCAUACAACACCCAGAAGCUCCUGGUGUUCUUGGACCGCCUGCACGCUGAUCUUAUUCCUCUACAUGAGGGGGGUUUGGUAGGGCCUCACUUGCCUACAUAUGUGAUUGUGUGGGACAAUGUGAGUUUUCACCGUGGCCCGCUCAUCAGGGCGUGGUUCACUGCCCAUCCAAGGUGGAUGGUCUAUGAGCAUCGGGCCCUAAACCAGAGGUCCCUUCUCCAGGCAAUGGAUGCUGCUUGUGUCGAUGUCACAGCAGAUCAGUGCAGGGGAUGGUUGCGGCAUGCACGCCGAUUCUUCCCCCGUUGACGAAAAUCUGCGGGCAGACAGACGUGAGCGCGAGGAUGAGCAGGAGAGUGAGGACGAAAACUAAACUCCAGCUUUGCUUUACUUUCCUACUGUAUGUUUUGUUACAGUAGUGUAGGCUAUACUUCAUUUUAGUUUGGAUGUGCUUUUUGUUUGACAGUAUUUUUUGUUGUACACAUUUUCUGUUUCUGUUUUGCAA
ensembl:lncRNA